AAAAAGUAAGAACACCAAGAACAUAAUAUUUUAUUUUUAAUGUUAAAUUAUAUAAUGUAUGAAAAUCAAGUAAUAAAAUUAUUAAGCAAUAAGUAGGAUGUUUGAAAUAAGGUUUAAGGUCAGGGAAUGAAAGUUGGGCACCCAAGUUUGUGGCCAUGGACAUAUUAGCUGCUGUACCAUCAAAAGUCAGUGUUUUUACACAAGUUCCAGUAUCAUGAACAAAUGAUAAAACUGUACAUAAUAAAUUUGCUUUCUCCUGUGAGUUUAAACCAUUGACUAAAAAGUAUGCUACUGGAAUUUUCCAAUUGGAAUUUAUAGCUACUAACAUGAAAACUAACGUUUCUUUGGCCCUAGAUGUGAAUCCAGGAGUGCCGUCUACAGUAGAGUACCAAUUUCUUAAAGUGCUUGGAUGAGGAAGGUUUUUAUUAAAAGCACCAUGUACAUAAUUAUAUGCAGCUUGGGAAUAAAAAUGUAAAGUGAGUGCAAAUUUUCGAAUUUCAGGAGUAAUUAUUUUACAAGUGGCAAUUUUUAAUUGUUUCAUAAUAAUAUCACUUUAAAAAUUUGGCAAAGACUCCUGUAAUUUAAUAAAUGAAACCACUAUAAAUAUAUUUAACAAUAAAACACAACACAUAAAAUCUAGUACCUACAAACAUGCACCACAAAAGAAAUUAAGCAACUUUAAAACACUAAUAUUUAUUUAACAUAACUAAAUCUAUGUAAAAUAUAUUUAGCAUGGAGCCUGGUGUGGCAAAGUGGUUGACCGCAGCACUGAUUAUAAAAAUCAAUGAAUAUAAAAAUGUAUGUUUAAUCAAUGACCACAGUCACUGAUAUGUGUUGCAGUCAAACACCAUCUUGUACUUCUGGCUCACGGAUAAGUGACCAACUGGGUUCUUGGUUUACAUAAACGCAGGUUGUUCCUCAACCAACCGAAAAAGAAAUAAAUAUUAUUUUUAACAUGCACCACAAGACAGUAUAGAAGAUCAUAUUAUAAAAUAAUCUAACCUUAAGUACAGAAAAACAAUUAUCUGAGAUCAGUCUUUUUUCAUCUUUUAAUAGCAAUCCAAUAUUUCAGCCUACUAUUUGGACUAUCUAUCUUAGCAAUGUCUUUGAAAUCACCCAAAAAAUAUUUGCGUUUCCUAAAAACAAGUAAAGUAUACAUGUUUAAAUCUUUAAAUUCAAUAUUGUAUAAUAUCAUCAUAUUAGUACUUUUUUAAUUAAAUAAUAAAAAAUAUUUAAAAAAUACACAUAUACCUUUUUUUUUGUGGAUAUAGGUGUAUUAAUAAUAUUGG